GAUUAGAGUUUGAUCAUGGCUCAGAGUGAACGCUGGCGGCAGGCCUAACACAUGCAAGUCGAACGGCAGCACAGGAGAGCUUGCUCUCUGGGUGGCGAGUGGCGGACGGGUGAGGAAUACAUCGGAAUCUGCCCUGUCGUGGGGGAUAACGUAGGGAAACUUACGCUAAUACCGCAUACGACCUUCGGGUGAAAGAGGGGGAUCGCAAGACCUCUCGCGAUUGGAUGAGCCGAUGUCGGAUUAGCUAGUUGGCGGGGUAAAGGCCCACCAAGGCGACGAUCCGUAGCUGGUCUGAGAGGAUGAUCAGCCACACUGGAACUGAGACACGGUCCAGACUCCUACGGGAGGCAGCAGUGGGGAAUAUUGGACAAUGGGCGCAAGCCUGAUCCAGCCAUGCCGCGUGAGUGAAGAAGGCCUUCGGGUUGUAAAGCUCUUUUGUCCGGAAAGAAAAGCAUUCGGUUAAUAACCGGGUGUCAUGACGGUACCGGAAGAAAAG
rnacentral:rRNA from 1 species